ensembl:lncRNA
AGGAUAAGGAGGCCCUCUGGGCACUACUGUAAAAAGGAGACUCCGUAUGUAUAGAUAGUUCUUAAUCAGUAAUUGUGUUGUUGUGUUGACAUACUUUUCUUUACUGUUUUCUUAAAUUUAAUAAACUAUAAACUACUAACACAUGUAUUCAUUGUCAUUGAUUGUAUGUGACUUUUACUGAUAACAUAAUGCAAUAUAGCCAGGACAGCCUUACAAGAGUCGCGACGCUUUGUGUUGCGUUGCUUCGCAUCGUGUCGAGGUCUGUAUGAUCACAAAAUUCAGAGUUCACCCACCUCUAAUUUUACCAUUACAGCACUGGGCGCACUGGCCUCCCUACCCGUUCGGUUGAGGAUAAAGACAGACUCGCCACAGCACGCAAAGUCAUGAUUGGGCUGGACAUAUGGACAAAAAAAGGGCUCACGGCAGCAUUUCUUGCCAUUAGUUCAUGCUAUUAUUGCACUCAAAACAGGGCAACACACAUACUGCUGAGGCUUGAGCAGAUCUCCCAUCCACAUACUGCAGAGUGCAUCAAAACAUGUGUGGGCCAAUGCACAGAGGACUGGGGAAUACCUAAAGAAAAAAUUCUGACUGUGAUAACAGACAACGGGAGCAACAUGGUUGCCGCUUUCAAAAAUGAAGAUGAUGAUGAGCCCAGCUCUGAGGAUGAUGAAGUCAAAAACUGUGAGGAAGAAUCUGAGGAGGGUGAUGAAGAGCAAAGGUACGGAGCCAUAAAGAGGACACCCUGCGUUGUACAUACGCUGCAACUCGUGGUGAACAUGAACAUAAUUAUCAGAAGCUGGCUGCUCUCAGAGACCUGCGCCUCCCCUUCGCAGAGCAUACUAAGAUGCUACAGAGCGACACCAUGUCCCUAUCCCUGGUGGUGCCCGCCCUCUUUGACCGGAGUGCUCACCUGUCCCACUUCCCCCAGAGCGCUGGCUACAGGGACCUAGCUGGCCUGGCUCAAAAAAUGAAGGCCAACAUGGAGCAGCGCUUCAGCUGCUUCCUUGAUCCAACGGAUUCAAAGUUCUCGCCCCUCGCCAUUGCUGCAUGCUUCCUGGAUCCAACUGUUUCACCUGAAACCCUCAUUGGGAAUGAGGACAUGCAAAUUCAGGAGCUUCUGAGAAGAGCAUAAGAUUACAUUUCUCAAACAAUAUCGCCACAGGAGGAGGAUGAUGAUUAUGAGGAGGAGGAAGAAGAGAGAAGGGAGGCACUCGAGACAUCCCCAUCUUCAAAGCGUCCAAGAUUCCGGUUCUUUUCAAAAACUGAUGCGUCGAACAGAGGGCUGGGGGCCGUUUUGUCCCAGCAGGUGCAGGGGGUGGACCGCCCGGUCCUCUACAUCAGCCGGAAACUGUCGGAGAGAGAGGCCAGGUACAGUACUGUGGAGAAAGAGUGCCUGGCCAUCCGGUGGGCGGUCGACUCCCUGCGGUACUACCUCCUGGAACGCCAGUUCACCCUCUCUUCGGACUAUGCCCCGGUGGCUCCACCGCAUGAAGGAUGCCAACGCCCGGAUCACUCGGUGGUAUCUGGCUCUACAGCCUUUUAACUUCAAGGUGAUCCAUAGGCCGGGGGCGCAGAUGGUCGUGGCAGACUUCCUCUCCCGCCCUCAGGAGGGAGAGGGGAGGGAGUCAGUUCGGCCGGAUGGCUCCCCGGCCUAUGUCGGGCGGUGGGGGUAUGUGAUGGCGGGGUGUGCUUAGCUCAGCUGCAGGGGGGGCUCUCCCCCCUGGGAGUGGUUCAGGGGACGGUGCCGGCAGGAGAGUAAGGAGAGUGCUCCUGCAAAGGUGGAAAUGAUCAGAACUGAUUGCGUGUCUCUUGAAAAGCAGUGAGCAGGACCUGGAGAGAAAAAGACUCUGCGGCAGACGCUCAGGGGCAAGAGAGCGGAGCGGAGCAGAGCCGAGGAGGACAACCACGCCAAACCCGCUCACUGCAAGGAAAUAAAAUAAAACAUAUUGC